AAAAGGGUAAAGAAUAUUGCGAGAAAAGAAAAUAUAUAAACAGUAGUUUUUUUUAUCUCUUUC
rnacentral:sRNA from 1 species